rnacentral:rRNA from 1 species
AACGUAGGACACGAGCGUUAUCCGGAGUUACUGGGCGUAAAGGGCGUGCAGGCGGCGUGGUAAGUCUGAUGUGAAAGCUCCCGGCUCAACCGGGAGAGGACAUUGGAGACUGCCAAGCUCGAGGCAGAUAGAGGGAUGUAGAAUUCCGGGUGUAGUGGUGAAAUGCGUAGAGAUCCGGAGGAAUACCAGAGGCGAAGGCGGCAUCCUGGGUCUGACCUGACGCUGAGACGCGAAAGCGUGGGGAGCGAACAGG